UACGAAGGGGGCUAGCGUUGCUCGGAAUCACUGGGCGUAAAGCGCACGUAGGCGGCUUCUUAAGUCAGGGGUGAAAGCCCGGGGCUCAACUCCGGAACUGCCUUUGAAACUAGAUUGCUAGAAUCUUGGAGAGGCGAGUGGAAUUCCGAGUGUAGAGGUGAAAUUCGUAGAUAUUCGGAAGAACACCAGUGGCGAAGGCGACUCGCUGGACAAGUAUUGACGCUGAGGUGCGAAAGCGUGGGGAGCAAACAGG
rnacentral:rRNA from 1 species